GUGGCUGUGUUGGUUUUUUAUUUAAUAUUAUGUUUCAUUGUAGUAUUUCCUGGCAACUCUUCAGGUGUGGCAUUCUAAGCUUGAUUCUGAAUCUGCAAACUCUGAUCUUCUUGAGCAGCUCCAUCGUGUAAAGGUCCGGAGGGGAAGCUUUUCCUCACACCUUGAUGUGGAUGAGAUCUAUGCUUCAACUACACUCAAGACAGGGUGGAAACGUAGCUGGCCAGAGCCUCCACCACCUCAGCCCUUUCCCUCAAAUUACAAACUUGUCCUUGCUGCAGAUCUCUGUGCAGAGCUGGAGGCUGUCCGUCAGGUAGAUGAAUUUCAGCUCCUGGCAGAAGCAGGUUGGCACAUCGAUGCCUUGCCAUUCCUCACAGCCGUCCUGAGGCACAAGGCCCAACUUCCUUGAGGGUUUAUCUCUGCCUGCAAAGGACCGGACACGCGGCACCGUACGUUAAAGUUCAGCAGUCCUUGGGUCUGGGGAGGUUUGUUCACCACCUCGUCUCUUCUCGUCCUCGUCCACCGUCUGCAAAAACAUUGCACAGUGACCACGGGGAGAAAUGGUGAUGGGAGAAGUGAGAGGAAGGCAAGGAGAGAAAGCAAGAAGGAAGAACUAGAAGGAGAUGGAGAGAGGAGGGUCGCAGUGGUGUCCUGUGGCAGCCUCUUUUCCAGAGGCCUUGCUUGUGCUGCGUGAACCCAAGGAGACACUCCAUGCGUGCAGUGCAGCCCAGGCAAGCAAACAGGUUGGACAGCCACGGCCUCGGCUGUGCAGAGGGAAGCGCCGUGCUGCAGCAGGAGCAGAGGCCGGGAGCGGCGGUGCCUGCUGAGCGCUGCAGGGACGUCCCCGACUGAAGGACAGC
rnacentral:lncRNA from 1 species